AUGAAUGAUAACAAAUUAACAGGAUCUCUUCCUCAGGGUUUUGGAGAUCUCAAGAACAUAGUCGGCCUUAAUCUGGCUGAUAACUCCCUUUCUGGACCUUUGCCUAUGAAUAUAUGUACCGGCGGCAGUCUCAGAGCUUUUGUAAUGUCUCUGAAUAUGUUCAAUGGCUCAGUUCCAUGGAGCUUAAAGACCUGUACAAGUUUGACUGGACUUUACCUUGACGGAAACCAACUGACAGGAGAUAUAUCUCACCAUUUUGGAGUUUAUCCACAACUUAGGCACAUAUGGUUGACGUCCAAUAGACUCUCUGGGAGCAUUGCACCAAAGUGGGGAGACUGCCCCCAACUAAAGGAAUUCAAGCUAGGACAAAACAUGAUUACGGGUCAAAUACCUCCCACCCUAUCAAAAUUAUCCAAUUUGGUAGACCUAACACUCGAUUCUAACCACAUAACUGGUUGGAUUCCACCAGAGUUAGGACAUUUGAAAAAUCUUUAUAUCUUGAAUCUGUCACUCAAUCAGUUAUCAGGCCCUGUACCUUUGNNNUUGAGAAAUUUAGGACACCUUGAUUUAUCUGAAAACAGUUUGAGUGGAUCAAUACCAGAGGAAUUGGGAACCUGCAUAGAACUAUUGUUCUUGAAGAUCAACACCAACAACUUCACUGGAAAAUUGCCUGGUGCAAUUGGAAAUUUAGCAAGUCUACAGAUGAUGUUAGAUGCCAGCAAUAACAAACUUGAAGGUGUCUUGCCAAAAGAUCUUGGAAAGUUGGAGAUGCUGGAAUUUCUUAAUUUAUCCCAUAACCAGUUCAGUGGAAACAUUCCAUCCUCCUUCGCAAGCAUGGUGAGCCUAUCGACACCUGAUGUGUCCUACAACGACUUGGAAGGACCACUCCCAAUAGGACAUGCACUUCAAAAUGCUUCAAUAAAUUGGUUUCUUCACAAUAAAGCUCUGUGCGGUAACUUCUCUGGACUGCUACCUUGUUACUCAACUCCAGCAUCUGGUCGCCAUAAACAAAAGAUACAAAGUUUCCUCCUGCCAAUUGUUCUUGUUGUGGGGUUUUCCACCAUUGCUACAAUUGCUAUCAUUGCAAUUCUGAUACGUAGCAAGAAAAAGAAACAACAAAGUGGUGCUACAGAUGAGGGGAGGAACAUGUUCUCUAUUUGGAAUUUUGAAGGACGACUAGCAUUUGAUGAUAUUAUCAGGGCAACAGAAAAUUUUGAUGACAAGUACAUCCUUGGAGCAGGAGGACAUGGAAAAGUCUACAAGGCACAACUCGAAGACGGGCAGCUAGUUGCUGUAAAGAAAUUCCAUCCAACAGAAGAAGAGUUGAUUGAUGAGAGAGGAUUUCACAGUGAAAUGGAAAUCUUAACACAGAUUCGACAAAGAAGUAUUGUCAAACUCUAUGGAUUUUGCUCCCAUCCAACGUACAAGUUUCUUGUCUAUGAUUACAUUCAGCGUGGAAGUCUCCACACGACUUUACAAGAUGAGGAAUUAGCCAAGGGAUUGAAUUGGCAUAAGAGAGCUGCCCUUAUAAAUGAUGUUGCUCAGGCAAUAUCCUAUUUGCACAAUGACUGUAGUCCUCCUAUAAUUCAUCGAGAUAUCACAAGCAACAACAUCCUACUUGAUACAAAUUUUAAGGCUUAUGUCUCAGAUUUUGGUACAGCAAGGAUUUUGAAGCCUGAUACAUCAAACUGGAGUGCACUAGCAGGGACAUAUGGCUACAUUGCUCCUGAGUUGUCCUACACUUCUGUUGUGACAGAGAAAUGUGAUGUGUACAGCUGUGGUGUGCUUGUGCUAGAGGUGUUGAUAGGGAAGCAUCCAAGAGAUCUACUCCAACAUCUUGCCUUAUCAACAGAGCCAUAUACUCUUGUCAAUGAAAUCUUGGACCAACGGCCUUCUGCACCAACAACAAUAGAAGAGAAAAACAUAGUUUUCCAAAUCAAGGUAGUAUUUUCUUGCUUGAAAGCUUCCCCUCAAGCAAGGCCAACAAUGCAGGAGAUCUGCCAGAUGCUCAUCCAUUAUGAAUCUUCCACUUCAGUGUGA
rnacentral:rRNA from 1 species